GUCCACGCUGUAAACGAUGAGCACUAGGUGUCGCGGGUAUUGACCCCUGCGGUGCCGACGCUAACGCAUUAAGUGCUCCGCCUGGGGAGUACGGUCGCAAGAUUAAAACUCAAAGGAAUUGACGGGGGCCCCGCACAAGCGGUGGAGCAUGUGGUUCAAUUCGACGCAACGCGCAGAACCUUACCCGGGCUAGACAACAGUGGACCGCCCCAGAGAUGGGGCUUUCCCUUCGGGGACCGCUGGUUCAGGUGCUGCAUGGCUGUCGU
rnacentral:rRNA from 1 species